GACGAACGCUGGCGGCGUGCUUAACACAUGCAAGUCGAACGAUGAAGCAAAGAAUCGAAGCUUCGGCAGAAAUUCAUUUCGGAUUAGUGGCAGACGGGUGAGUAACGCGUGAGCAACCUACCUCUUACAAAGGGAUAGCCUCGGGAAACCGGGAUUAAUACCAUAUAACAUUGCGACGAAGCAUUUCGAUGCAAUCAAAUCUACGGCGGUAAGAGAUGGGCUCGCGUCCCAUUAACCGGAUGGUGGGGUAACGGCUAACCAUAGUGACGAUGGGUAACCGGGAUGAGAGGGUGAACGGUCACACUGGAACUGAGACACGGUCCAGAAUCGUACGGGAGGGAGCAGUGGGGAAUAUUGCACGAUGGAGGGAACUCCGAUGCAGCGACGCCGCGUGAGUGAUGAAGGAAUUCGUUACGUAAAACUCUGUGCUAUGGGAAGAAAGGGACUGUACCAUAGGAGAAAGCACCGGCUAAAUACGUG
rnacentral:rRNA from 1 species